UAUCUCUGUAGAGUCUGCAUAUCAAUAAGCGGAGGAAAAGAAACUAACUAGGAUUCCCUCAGUAACGGCGAGUGAAGCGGGAAGAGCUCAAAUUUGAAAUCUUCAAGGUUUUACCUUGACGAAUUGUAGUUUAAAGAAGUGUUUUCUGUUGGAGUUUUGGUAAAAGUUCUUUGGAAUAGGACAUCAUAGAGGGUGAGAAUCCCGUAUUUGACCAUUAUUUCCAGCUUUGUGAUACACUUUCAAAGAGUCGGAUUGUUUGGGAAUGCAGUCCAAAAUGGGUGGUAAAUUUCAUCUAAAGCUAAAUAUUGGCGAGAGACCGAUAGCGAACAAGUACCGUGAGGGAAAGAUGAAAGAACUUUGAAAAGAGAGUUAAACAGUACGUGAAAUUGUCAAAAGGGAAGCGUUUGACACCAGUGUUGUUUUCUCGAAAAUCAAUUAAAAAAGGCAGGAUUUUGUGUUGUAUUGACUUUAUCAGCUUUCUGCACUCUUUUCUUGUCUUUUUUAAUGCACUUUUCGUUUAACAAGUCAACAUCAAUUUCUUUUGUUGUAAAAGAGUCAUUGGAAGGUGGCUUUCACUUCGGUGAAAGUGUUUAUAGCCUUUGGCUUCUGCAAUCGGAGAGAUUGAGGUCUGCAGCGUAGAUCCUUCGGGGCUAGAUACGUAGAUGCUAAGUUAUAGUUUUUUAUAGACAACUUGUUGACUAUAAUUAAUCAUGUAGCUUACUCGUUUGCGCUAUUUUACCUACGCUUAGGAUGUUGAAGUCAUCGUAUCGCGC
rnacentral:rRNA from 1 species